AAGAUAUUAGAUUUUAGAUUUUAUUAGAGUAUAAUGUCUUUGUGAAAAAUAGGCAUCUAAAAUCUGUUUGAGUAUGUUCCUUUUUAUCUGUUUAUAAUACAGAUAAAUGACCACCAUUUUAACGAUAAAAGUAAUCUACUGGCAACGAAGAAACAAAAAUAAGAACAUAGAAAGAUAAUAUUAUCAUCGUCAAGAAUAAGUCAAUCACCUGCGUUGUGACAAUUCUAUUUAUAAUACUUAUGUAUUUUUCAUCAUACCUACUACAACAUUUGUGGAUACAAAAAAUCUUUGUAAAAAGAGAUGAACAAGUUUAAUUAUUAAAGAAAGAAUCAAUUUGUUAAACAGCAUUUAGGCUGUGGCUCAUUGGAGCUGUUGUGCUAUUUGGUGUGCUGCUAAUGUGGAUUAGGCGUGAUGAAAUGCAGCCCUCUGAAAUUAAUGAGGAACAAACACACCAAAACUUGGAAGACGCCACACAAGGUCUUCAUCCGAUUAUAUAAACAAAAUAUCGUAAAAUAAAAAAGUCAUUGUUCACAAAAUAACUUUUUAAAUAUGUUUCAUAAAAUAAAAUAGUGUAAUCGACUAAAACCAGUUUUUACACA